CCAGCCCGCUCAGAAAACUCAAAUGAAUUGACGGGGCCCGCACAAGCGGUGGAGCAUGUGGUUAAUUCGAUGAUACGCGAGGAACCUUACCUGGGCUCAAAUGUAUGUUGACGUAUUCUGAGAGGGAUACUUCUUCGGACAAUAUACAAGGUGCUGCAUGGUUGUCGUCAGCUCGUGCCGUGAGGUGUCGGGUUAAGUCCCAUAACGAGCGCAACCCCUAUCAUUAGUUGCCAUCAGGUCAAGCUGGGGACUCUAAUGAAACUGCCUACGCAAGUAGUGAGGAAGGUGGGGAUGACGUCAAAUCAGCACGGCCCUUACGUCCAGGGCUACACACGUGCUACAAUGGUCGGUACAAAGGGUUGCCAAGCCGCGAGGUGGAGCUAAUCCCAUAAAACCGAUCGUAGUCCGGAUCGCAGUCUGCAACUCGACUGCGUGAAGUCGGAAUCGCUAGUAAUCGUGAAUCAGAAUGUCACGGUGAAUACGUUCCCGGGCCUU
rnacentral:rRNA from 1 species